rnacentral:rRNA from 1 species
AUUGAACGCUGGCGGCAGGCCUAACACAUGCAAGUCGAGCGGAUGAAGUGAGCUUGCUCCUGGAUUCAGCGGCGGACGGGUGAGUAAUGCCUAGGAAUCUGCCUGGUAGUUUGGGAUAACGUCCUUAAACGGGCGCUAAUACCGCAUACGUCCUGAGUGAGAAAGUGGGUGAUCUUCGUACCUCACGCUAUCAGAUUAUCCUUGGUCGGAUUAGCUAGUUGUUGGGGUAAAGGCCUACCAAGGCGACGAUCCGUAACUGGUCUGAGAGGAUGAUCAGUCAAACUGGAACUGAGAAAAGGUCCAGACUACUACGGGAGGCAGCAGUGGGGAAUAUUGGAAAAUGGGCGAAAGCAUGAUCCAGCAAAGCCGAGUGUGUGAAGAAGGUCUUCGGAUUGUAAAGCACUUUAAGUUGGGAGGAAGGGAAGUAAGUUAAUACCUUGCUGUUGUGACGUUACCAACAGAAUAAGCACCGGCUAACUUCGUG